rnacentral:rRNA from 1 species
AACGAACGCUGGCGGCAGGCUUAACACAUGCAAGUCGAGCGCCCCGCAAGGGGAGCGGCAGACGGGUGAGUAACGCGUGGGAAUCUACCCAUCUCUACGGAAUAACGCAUGGAAACGUGUGCUAAUACCGUAUACGUCCCUCGGGAGAAAGAUUUAUCGGAGAUGGAUGAGCCCGCGUUGGAUUAGCUAGUUGGUGGGGUAAAGGCCUACCAAAGCGACGAUCCAUAGCUGGUCUGAGAGGAUGAUCAGCCACACUGGGACUGAGACACGGCCCAGACUCCUACGGGAGGCAGCAGUGGGGAAUAUUGGACAAUGGGCGCAAGCCUGAUCCAGCCAUGCCGCGUGAGUGAUGAAGGCCCUAGGGUUGUAAAGCUCUUUCACCGGUGAAGAUAAUGACGGUAACCGGAGAAGAAGCCCCGACUAACUUCGUGCCAGCCGCCGCAGUAACAC